CUAAACUAACUAAAAUAAAAUAUCUUUGAUUCUAAUUUUAAUUAAAGAUUCUGCGCAGAUUUUCCUCCUCCGUGAAAAGAUAUUCCUCUUCCGUAAUAUGCAAAUAAAACACCAAAAACAAAUCUAAUUUCAGCCAAAUCACGUUUAAUAAAAAGGAGGAAGAAUUCAAAAUUUAUCUCCCUAAUCCCACGUUGAAACCGUUCCCCUCUCUCCCACAAAUCUCUCCCGUAUCUCAACCCCCUUUCCCCUAUAUUAAAUCCUUAACUAGUUACUUCUUUUUCCUCACCUAACGUCUCUGUAAGCAAGAAAGCAAGAACCAUUCUUCAACUUCUACUCAAGAAAUCGAAAUCCUUUCAGCUUCAAGAACCUGCCUUUUUAGCUUUGUGAACUUCACAACCCAAAUUCAAUUCACAGAGGUGAGACUUCGCAAGGGAAUCGAGAUACCAAAGGGAAGUAAGUGUAGAGAAUUAAGCAAUUGAGGUUGAGCGGCGAUGAGGAUGUGGUGGUGUUGAGCAAGUGAAUUUAAGAUAUUAUGGUUGUUUUUGAACCUUGGGUGUCGUUGUGUCUUCACACAUGACGUCACUCUUUCUCUUGGUCGUUUCCGCUGUGACGUUUCGUUUAAUUAUGUUUUAUUUGGGCAGACAACUUUAAUUGUUAGGAUAAUAGAUAUUUUGAAUUUCUUGUUGGAUAAUAUCAAACUCUUGGUUACUUAUUGAGAUUUUAAUUGUUGGUCCAACUUGUGUUGAAACCCCAAUUCUUUUCGUCUGUAUUAAGUUCUUUUAAUCACGAUCGCCCGUAUUUAUUAACCCUAAAGGGCGGUCGUGACAUUGUUGGUUCUGUUGGAGAAGAUCAUGGAAAAUAUACUCCAAAUCACGGAAGAUAUGCGAGAUUAUCUCUUACCAAACAUAGGAGAUAUCAAUCAAUGUUCACUUGAAAGAUAAGGCGCCAAUUUAUUUUUAAAGUGGAAACGGCAAGUCCAGAAGGAAUUAUGGCUCAAAUUAUCAACAUGACCAAGACAAUUGGGGAGCUCAGCUUGACAGAUGGUAUACACAUAGGAGCUGCACGUACGCCUAUGCUGAUUGGAUGGCAUCCUCCACAAGUGGGUACGAUCAAGUUGAAUACAGAUGCUUCCAUUGAAGGGGGCCUGGGACAAGCUUUUGGCGGAGGGAUUUUUUGAGAUGCUCUAGGGGAUUGAAGACUUGGGUUUGCUGUUAAUAUUGGGAGCUGCUCCAUCUUGAUGGUUGAAAUUUGGUGCAUUUUCUAUGGAUUAGAGCUGGCCAAGGCUUGAGGAUUUCGAAAGCUAGAGGUAGAGAGUGACAACUUUGUUGGUGUGUCAAUGAUUAUGGGCAGGUUCGAGAUCUCAACUAAUUGUCGCUCUUUAGUACAAAAGGUACGUGACAUUCUUCAAGAUUUUGACUCAGUCGUGGUUCGACAUCUUCAUAGAGAAGGUAACUUGCAGCAGAUUUUUUAAUCCCUUUUUGCUUAUAGCUUUUCUAGAGGAGUUCAUGUUUUAGAUACUCUGCCUUUGAGGUUACAUAGUUGGUUGAUCCAUGAUAGCAUAGGUGUUUCUUACAUCCGUUAAUUGUGUUA